AUUGAACGCUAGCGGGAUGCCUUACACAUGCAAGUCGAACGGAGUGGCGAACGGGGGAGUAAUGUAUCGGAACGUGCCCAGUAGCGGGGGAUAACUACGCGAAAGCGUAGCUAAUACCGCAUACUAUUGGAGCGGCAGAUAUCGGAUUAGCUAGUGGGUGGGGUAACGGCUCACCAAGGCGACGAUCCGUAGCUGGUUUGAGAGGACGACCAGGCACACUAGGCCUGAGACACGGCCCAGACUCCUACGUGAGGAAGCAGUGGAGAAUGGUGGACAAGAGGGGAAACCCUGAUCCAGCCAUCCCGCGUGUGAUAUGAAGGCCUUCGGGUUGUAGAGCACUUUUGUCAGGAAAGCGGUACCUGCAGAAUAAGCACCGGCUAACUACGUGCCAGCAGCCGCUGUAAUUC
rnacentral:rRNA from 1 species